GCCGGGCAUGGUGGUGCAUGCCUGUAAUCCCAGUGGCUCAGGAGGCUGAGGCAGGAGGAUUGUAAAUUCAAAGCCAGCCUCAGCAACUUAGCGAGGCCUUAAGCAGCCCAGAAAGACCCUGUCUCUA
rnacentral:sRNA from 1 species